rnacentral:lncRNA from 1 species
UGAAACAAUAAAAUUGUUCACAGGUACUAACUAAGUGAUAAGGCAUCCUUUAACAUCGAAUUGUGAGGAGAUGAGGCAUCACAUGGUGAAGGAGUGCAGAGGCCCCUCUGCCACCAGUUUCAGAGAUGUAUCCUUGUGUCAAGAUUCCCUUAUAUCAACUCACAUGUUAAAAGAAUUAAUUACCUACCCCUUUAGGAUACGACUAAUGACCUCAUACCGUCAGAUGCAUAUACGUGUCCCACAUCCAACGGUGCCCUUUGUCUAUAAACACCAAAGGCUUGAUAAGAGAUAAGGGAUUACUUCUCUACUUCAUAUCACCCCCGCUGGUAUUGGCCGUAUAUGUCUGACCAUUCAUUAUUGUGCAUAGGGAGGACAUGGAGUGGCUCUCGAUUGACCGCAUGAAGAGUCGAAUUUGCGAGGUCAACGGUAACUAUAGUAUAUAGCUUGGAAAUGGGAAAAUUUGCUUACAAACUCAAAUACAGCCACAAUCAAGCAUCACGAUUAACUCCGUGACUUGACUCUUGUCGUGCCCAACAAGUACAUUAGUCUAGAAAUUAGAACAUUAAAUCAUCUCCUAGCAUGGUUGGAGAAUUUUGUGUUUGAGGCCCACAAGAAACUAAGAAAAUUGAAACAUAAAGGUUUCAUUACUACUUCAAAGAGUUCACGACCUUUAUGCUUCAAAUCCCAAGGCAUGUCGAAAAAUGUCUUGCUAUUCUCUUUCAUGGAUGGUUGUGCAACAUAGGUGUGGCAAAAAUUCCAAAGGAGUACGAAGACGCAAGCAAAGGACCUUCAAACCAACCAAAGGAAAUUUUGGUGAAGGCCCCUGGCAUAAGCCGAAUUGGAGACCAAAUCCCAAAGCCAUUCAAUUGGAGGAAGGUUUAUGCUGACAAAAAUGUAAUUUUGCUCCUAGUGGUUGAUUCAAAUAUGCAAAGGGCCGCAUCUCAUGCGGGAUUGUCCUAAUCUAUGAUCAUUGGCAUCCAUCUCGAGGAACAAACUGGAGGUCAUAGAUAGCGGAUGAAGUUCAGAUGAAUUCAUUCCAAUUGUUUAAUAUAAGGACAUGAUGCCAACAGAUUUGUCGAGGGAACUACCACAAAGGAGAGAAAGUGAUAAUGUUCAAUUGCUAUAGGAGGCAAGCAAAAAUAUCUGUAGUAGGGAUCGCAAUUUGAGAAAACACAAGAACUAACUAUGGAAGGGAACACAGGCAGGACCAGCAUAGUCAUUAUAGUAGGGGGGACGUGGAAAGGAAAAAAUUCAAGCAAAUUGGGCAGGCUCAGCAGCUUAGGAACGUAAGUAGCAACACAUGCAGAUUAAAUAAACAAAACACAAGCAAAAAUUGCAAUCGGGCUAGGUAGGCAGGAC